rnacentral:misc_RNA from 1 species
GAUGAAGAACGCAGCGAAAUGCGAUAAGUAAUGUGAAUUGCAGAAUUCAGUGAAUCAUCGAAUCUUUGAACGCACAUUGCGCCCGUCAGUAUUCUGGCGGGCAUGCCUGUUCGAGCGUCAUUACGCCCCUCAAGUCCCCUGUGGACUUGGUGUUGGGGAUCGGCGAGGCUGGUUUUCCAGCACAGCCGUCCCUUAAAUUAAUUGGCGGUCUCGCCGUGGCCCUCCUCUGCGCUGUAGUAAAACACUCGCAACAGGAGCCCGGCGCGGUCCACUGCCGUAAAACCCCCCAACUUUUUAUAGUUGACCUCGAAUCAGGUAGGACUACCCGCUGAACUUAAGCAUAUCAAUAAGCGGAGGA